GUAAUGCCGGAUGCUCCAGUUGACCGCAUGGUCCUCUGGGAAAGAUUCAUCGGUAUGGGAUGGGGUCGCGUCCUAUCAGCUUGAUGGCGGGGUAACGGCCCACCAUGGCUUCGACGGGUAGCCGGCCUGAGAGGGCGACCGGCCACAUUGGGACUGAGAUACGGCCCAGACUCCUACGGGAGGCAGCAGUGGGGAAUAUUGCACAAUGGGCGCAAGCCUGAUGCAGCGACGCCGCGUGCGGGAUGACGGCCUUCGGGUUGUAAACCGCUUUUGACUGGGAGCAAGCCCUUCGGGGUGAGUGUACCUUUCGAAUAAGCACCGGCUAACUACGUGCCAGCAGCCGCGGUAAUACGUAGGGUGCAAGCGUUAUCCGGAAUUAUUGGGCGUAAAGGGCUCGUAGGCGGUUCGUCGCGUCCGGUGUGAAAGUCCAUCGCUUAACGGUGGAUCCGCGCCGGGUACGGGCGGGCUUGAGUGCGGUAGGGGAGACUGGAAUUCCCGGUGUAACGGUGGAAUGUGUAGAUAUCGGGAA
rnacentral:rRNA from 1 species